rnacentral:rRNA from 1 species
GACGAACGCUGGCGGCGUGCUUAACACAUGCAAGUCGAACGGAAAGGACAUGAUUUUGUGGUGUGCUCGAGUGGCGAACGGGUGUGUAACCCGUCAGUAAACUGCCCUUGACUCUGGGUUACCUUCACGAAACUGGGGCUACUACCGGCUAGGAGCUCCUGCUGCUUGGUGUGGGUUGGAACGUUUCGGCGGAAGGGGAUGGACUCGCGGAUUAUCAGCUCUUGGGUGGGGUAGAGGCUUACCAAGGCUUUGACGGAUCGCCGGCCGGAGAGGGUGACCGGCCGCAUUGGCACGAAGUGACGGCCCAGACUCCUUCGGGAGGCAGGAGGGGGGAAUGUUGCACAAUGGACGGAAGCCUGAUGCAGCAACGCCGCGUGCGGGAGGACGGCCGUCAGUUUGUAAGCCGCUUUCGCCUGUAACGAAGCGAGAGUGACGGUAAUGAGUAAAGAAGCACCGGCUAACUACGU